rnacentral:tRNA from 1 species
GCGGGGGUGCCCGAGCCAGGUCAAAGGGGCAGGGUUCAGGUCCCUGUGGCGUAAAUCCCAGCCCUGGCGCUUUUCUCUCGGCAACCCACACGCCGCCACAAAGGCGCGGGUCAUAGCCCCCCGCU